rnacentral:rRNA from 1 species
ACACCGCCCGUCAAGCCAUGGGANCCGGGGGUGCCUGAAGUUCGUUACCGCAAGGAUCGACCUAGGGCAAAACUGGUGACUGGGGCUAAGUCGUAACAAGGUAAC